GUUGUUUUGUUUUUUGUUUCUAUGGUACUUUUCAGUUUUCACACCAUUAUUUAGCUUAUUUUAGUCCGUUUUCCUGACCUAAAACUGCUUUUUAACUGCAGUUUUCGAGACAGUUUUUUAGCCAAUUUAAUUCCAUACAUGUAAGAAAAUUUUGUUUUUUUAUUUUUUAUUUCAAAUAAAAUCACUUUGAUGAUUGCCUUUUAAACUUAAACUGUUCAUUUUAAUGAGUCAUUUAUGUGUGUGAAACCCUUGUCGAUAGGGGCAAUAGAGAUAUUUUGAAAGAUUGAGUGACAUUUGUGUUUUGUUUUGUCACUCUUUGUCAUUUACAAAAACAGCAAUCCCGCGCUAUUUUGCUUUCUUUCCACUCAAAUACUCCUUUUCGA
rnacentral:lncRNA from 1 species